rfam:Schistosoma haematobium scaffold430_45, whole genome shotgun sequence.
AUCCAGCUCUCGAGUCCUAAAUAGGACGAAGAACGCGAGUCCUGGAU